rnacentral:lncRNA from 1 species
UCCUGCUCCCUCCGGGAGGAGCCGUCCAGCUCCUGGGCGCCCUGGCGGCCCAGCCUGCGCUCCGCCGAGCCGCCUGGGGGGGUUUUGGGGGACAUUUAGGGUCGCCCCCCGAUUUUAGGGGGCGUCUCCCACCUUUAGGGGGGGCCCAGCACCUUUGGGUGCCCCCCCCGGGGAGCUCGGCACCCACCUGUGUGUGCUGGGCCCUCCUCGUCCUCCUCACACUCCACUUCCACGGUGUCGGCGGGGGGCGCUCCUGGAGGGGGGGGAAAGGCAAAAAUUGGGGGUUUUGGCCCCAAAAUGUGGCGUUUUGGGGGCUUGUUAGCUCGGAGCGGGGUUAUGGUUAGCUCGGAGAGGGACCCCGGUGUCCCAUAUUGGGCACUUUUUACCCCAAAACAGCCCCAUUACCUCAUGUCAGAACCCCAUUAUCACUUAUUGCGACCCCAUUGUCCCAUUUUGGGCCCUUUUUACCCCAAAACGUCCCUAUGACCUCAUAUCAGGACCCUAUUAUCACUUAUUGCGACCCCAUUGUCCCAUAUUUGGCACUUUUUACCCCAAAACAGCCCUGUUACCUCAUAUCGGGACCCCAUUACCUCACACCGGCCCCAUUAUCCCGUAGCAGGAUCCCCUUAUCCCAUAUUGGGCCCUUUUUACCCCAAAACAGCCCCGUUACCUCCCCCCAACCCCCUUAUUCCCCACCAGGACCCCAUUACCUUUUUUUGGGACCCCAUCACCCCAUUUUGGGACCCUUUUUCCUCAUUUUGGGACCCCAUCACCUCACUUUGAGCCCCCUUUACCCCAAACCCACCCCAGGACCCCCUCCCCUCAUUUGGGGACCCCAUUACCACAUUUUGGGACCCUUUUUCCGCAUUUUGGGACCCCCUCACCUGGUUUUAGGACCCCUUUACCUCACUUUAGGGCCCUCUCACCUCAUUUUGGGACCCCCCACCUCAUUUUGGGACCCUUUUAACUCUCUUUAGGACCCCCUCACCUCAUUUAAGGACCCCUUUACCUCAUUUUGGGCCCCUUUUACCUCAUUUCGGGACCCUUUUACCUCAUUUAACCCCCCCUCACCUCACACCGGGACCCCUUUACCUCAUUUUG